AGGGUGCUAGCUCAAUGGAAAAACACCUACCUUACAAGCAGGACGUUGGUGGUUUGAUUCCUCCAUGCCCUA
rfam:Picea glauca, whole genome shotgun sequence.